CCCUUAGAUGUUCUGGGCCGCACGCGCGCUACACUGUUUGAUUCAGCGAGUCUUAACCUUGACCGAAAGGUUUGGGUAAUCUUCUAAAGUCAAACGUGAUGGGGAUCGAUCAUUGCAAUUAUUGAUCGUGAACGAGGAAUUCCUAGUAAAUACAAGUCAUCAGCUUGCGUUGAUUACGUCCCUGCCCUUUGUACACACCGCCCGUCGCUACUACCGAUUGAAUGGUUUAGUGAGAUCUCCGGAUUGGCUCUGUAGGUCCCGCAAGGGAUUUAUUAGUAGCCAAGAAGCUGCUCAAACUUGAUCAUUUAGAGGAAGUAAAAGUCGUAACA
rnacentral:rRNA from 1 species